UUUCCGUAGGUGAACCUGCGGAAGGAUCAUUACCGAGUGAUGGUCUCUCAGGCCCGACCUCCCCCCCUGUGUUUUUGUGACCUUGUUGCUUUUGCGGGCGCGCCUCGAUGACUGUCAGCCGGUGGCUCACCGCUUUGUGCCCCUUCCCUUCUGUAACUCCCUUAGCUUCUUUAUAUACCUUUGGUUAAACUUCAAUGAUAUAAAGAAAAAAAAAUUUCAACACAAGAUCUCUUGGUUCUUGCAUCGAUUAAGAAAGCAACAGAGCAGAAAACCAAACGG
rnacentral:misc_RNA from 1 species